AAUCACUAAUUAUAUACAAAUACUUUAAACAUUUACAUAUAAAACUUAAUAAAUUUUAUUUUAAAAAAUAUGUAUAUAAAUUAAAUUUACAUAAACUUUUUAAAAACCAGCAUUUUAAUCUUUUAUAAAUCUUAACACCAAACCCUAAAAACAAACUUCAAAUCAUAUACCCUCACUCCAAAUUCUAAAUCCUAACUCUACUCUUGAACUUAGACUUUUAGUCAUAGAAAUUAAAUCACGAACUCUAAUAACAAACCUUCAACUUUAAACAAAUUCAUGCAACCAUAUACCCUGAACUC
rnacentral:lncRNA from 1 species